rnacentral:rRNA from 1 species
AGUCGCAGCUACACAUGCAGUCGAACGGCGUCGUUAGCAAUACGUCAGUGGCAGACGGGUGAGUAACGCGUGGGAACGUACCUUUUGGUUCGGAACAACACAGGGAAACUUGUGCUAAUACCGGAUAAGCCCUUACGGGGAAAGAUUUAUCGCCGAAAGAUCGGCCCGCGUCUGAUUAGCUAGUUGGUGAGGUAAUGGCUCACCAAGGCGACGAUCAGUAGCUGGUCUGAGAGGAUGAUCAGCCACAUUGGGACUGAGACACGGCCCAAACUCCUACGGGAGGCAGCAGUGGGGAAUAUUGGACAAUGGGCGAAAGCCUGAUCCAGCCAUGCCGCGUGAGUGAUGAAGGCCCUAGGGUUGUAAAGCUCUUUUGUGCGGGAAGAUAAUGACGGUACCGCAAGAAUAAGCCCCGGCUAACUUCGUGCCAGCAGCCGCGGUAAUACGAAGGGGGCUAGCGUUGCUCGGAAUCACUGGGCGUAAAGGGUGCGUAGGCGGGUUUCUAAGUCAGAGGUGAAAGCCUGGAGCUCAACUCCAGAACUGCCUUUGAUACUGGAAGACUUGAGUAUGGCACGAGGUGAGUGGAACUGCGC